rnacentral:rRNA from 1 species
GAUAAACGCUGGCGGCGUGCUUAACACAUGCAAGUCGAACGAAGAAGGUUAGAAUGAGAGCUUCGGCAGGAUUUCUUUCCAUCUUAGUGGCGGACGGGUGAGUAACACGUAGGUAACCUACCUAUAAGACUGGGAUAACUUCGGGAAACCGGAGCUAAUACCGGAUAAUAUUUCGAACCGCAUGGUUCGAUAGUGAAAGAUGGCUUUGCUAUCACUUAUAGAUGGACCUGCGCCGUAUUAGCUAGUUGGUAAGGUAACGGCUUACCAAGGCAACGAUACGUAGCCGACCUGAGAGGGUGAUCGGCCACACUGGAACUGAGACACGGUCCAG